rnacentral:lncRNA from 1 species
GAGCUUUACAAAGGCUAGAUAACUCAUCUGAAGGCAAUGCUUAGCACUGCUUAGCAGCCCAAUAGUGGUACCAGCUCAGCACCAUGGUUUUAUUUAUACUUUGUCUCUGUAGACCUUGCUUUAUUCCGGACUUGAGAAGGAGUUCUCCAAGCAUUUGGAAGAAACUCCUUUUCCAUUGAAGUUGUUUAAAGAACACUUACCUUUUGAUACCCUUGGCUGUGUACAUUUGAGUAAAGAGAGCACUAUAAAAUCAAAAACCAAUGAAAUGGUUUCCAGAACACAGAACUAUUAAGCUUAAGAAAAGGACAGAAGGAACUGAAGAGAGAGGAACUGUUUUGGAGCAUCACACUUCCACCUCAGAAGAAAUAAGGAAGGAAGGAGGAGGGUGUUCCCACGGCUCUUCAACCAGGCCGGCUCUUCAGCCUACAUCCCCAUCUCAUCAAGUAAAAGGGAUUUUUCAACUGGACCAACCAGAUGGUUUAACAGUGCACUCCCACACCAUUCAACUACGCAAGGGAGAUACACUUAACAUAUGCAGUCGUAUAACACCUACUAACAUUUUCAAACAUUAAACCUUUAAAAAAGAGUUCUAAAGAAAUAGAAGCUUGAAGUAUCAUCUCUCAAGUAUAUAGACACUACUUCAUGGUGUGGUAAUAUAUGCAUAUAGAAGCUAGUAAACACCUCCAGGAGAUGCAAAAGGAAUUAGAACUGCCACAAGGUGCAAGC